UGUGAUGAUUUAGCAAGCUCAGAAAGAAUUAAACCAUCAAUAAAAUUACAGACUUGGUACAUUUCAAAGCAUCUGCUCAGAUCUCAUGGAAUUUCUUGGCUAGUACAUGUUCAGUCAGACAGAAAGCCAUGGGAGUGAAUUCAUGAUCACCUUGUAUCCCACUGGAUGCCUCAGAAGCGCAGAUGGGAAUAGAGAGCAGUGGAUAAGCAGUGAGGGAGGGGACUGCGGCUCCGAGUGAUCUCCCUGUAAAAACAGCAAAAACAGGAGCGGUGGGAAGUGUCAUGUGCAAGGAAUGUGUGGAAUGAGGGUGAUUUCAAGUGUUCCCAGGCUCAGAUAAUUCCAAGAGACGGACCUACACCCCAUUUAAGAAUAAAGGUAAAGAGUUUGUGCUCACAAA